AGGAUGAACGCUGGCGGCGUGCCUAAUGCAUGUAAGUCGCACGCAGAGCUUCGGUUCUGAGUGGCGGACGGCUGAGGAACACGUGGGUGACCUGCCCUGGCGUGGGGGAUAACGGGCCGAAAGGUGCGCUAAUCCCGCAUACGUUCCCCUUUUAGUAAGGAGGGGAAGAAAGCAGCAAUGCGCGCUGGGAGGGGCCUGCGGCCCAUCAGGUAGUUGGCGGGGUAACGGCCCACCAAGCCGGUGACGGGUCCCUGGUCUGAGAGGACGACCAGGCAGACUGGGACUGAGACACGGCCCAGACUCCUACGGGAGCAGCAGCAAGGAAUUUCUGCAAUGGGCGCAAGCCUGACAGAGCAACGCCGCGUGGUGGAUGACGGCCUUCGGGUGUAAACUACUUUGCGUAGGGACGAUAAUGACGGUACCCUAGGGAAUAACGCCCGACUAACCGUCCGCGCCAGCACGCCGC
rnacentral:rRNA from 1 species